rnacentral:lncRNA from 1 species
UUCAUGUAGACAACAAUGAUGUUUGUGUGAAUUUAGUUUUAUUCCCUUUUCUGAUCAACAACUUCUGUGAAGUUGUUCUCAUCAUAAUUUAUCUUCUUGUUAUUAUCUCCUUUAACCAAUUGUAUGCUUCAUAUAUCAAAUCCAAAAAUUCUAUAAUUAUUAGAAUCUCUGGAGAGACGUGUCUUGUAACCACAUAGCAUGGACUAAUUUUUUAACUGAAGUGCUGGAUUUGUCAAUGUAGUUUGCCUACAUCCCAUCAUUAGAUCACUAAUGUAAUGUGUCUUUGAAUAAAAUCAAAUUCAAUAAUGUAGUUGAAA